rnacentral:rRNA from 1 species
UACGAAGGGGGCUAGCGUUGUUCGGAAUUACUGGGCGUAAAGCGCGCGUAGGCGGUGAUCUUUGUCAGAGGUGAAAGCCUGGGGCUCAACCCCAGAAUUGCCUUUGAAACGGGAUCGCUAGAGUCCGAGAGAGGAUGGCGGAAUUCCUAGUGUAGAGGUGAAAUUCGUAGAUAUUAGGAAGAACACCGGUGGCGAAGGCGGCCAUCUGGCUCGGUACUGACGCUCAGGCGCGAAAGCGUGGGGAGCAAACGGGG